AUUGAACGCUGGCGGCAGGCCUAACACAGGAAAGUCGAGCGGAGCGGCGGACGGGUGAGUAAUGCCUAGGAAUCUGCCUGGUAGUGGGGGAUAACGUCCGGAAACGGGCGCUAAUACCGAAUAAUAUAAGAUGAGCCUAGGUCGGAUUGGCUAGUUGGUGGGGUAAAGGCCUACCAAGGCGACGAUCAGUAACUGGUCUGAGAGGAUGAUCAGUCACACUGGCAAUGAGAAACGGUACGGACUCCUACGGUAGGCAGCAGUGGGGAAUAGUGGACAAUGGGCGAAAGCCUGAUCCAGCCAUGCCGCGUGUGUGAAGAAGGUCUUCGGAUUGUAAAGCACUUUAAGUUGGGAGGCGUUACCAACAGAAUAAUCACCGGCUAACUUCGUGCCAGCAGCCGCGGUAAUAC
rnacentral:rRNA from 1 species